rnacentral:tmRNA from 1 species
GGGGGCGUACCGGUUUCGACAGGGGUUUUGAAUCAGGCUAAGCGGGUAGAGGUGUCGACUCUUUAAACGACAACCUUAUAAAUCAAAUAACAACAAUUAUUCUUUACCAGUAGCCGCUUAAGGCUGCUCGACUCCCCGGGGAGGAUCACGGCCUCGGGUUAGUCGUCACUUAGUGAUGAACGUGAGCAGGUCAAGCUUUGCGCCUGCCAUGCAUAAUGAAGCUACUAAACCGUACAGCGUGACGGCUUGCUAUGCGGUAAGGGAAUGGAGAUAAUCUCGAAAUAACCGUCUGCACCCGGAGAAAGGCUUGUGGAUAGGCUUUUGGACGCGGGUUCAACUCCCGCCGCCUCCACCA